rnacentral:rRNA from 1 species
ACGCUGGCGGCACGCCUAACACAUGCAAGUCGAACGAAGUAGCAAUACUUAGUGGCAGACGGGUGAGUAACAUGUAGGUAUCUGCCCUUUGGCCUGGAAUAACACGAGGAAACUUGUGCUAAUACCGGAUAAGUCUUUACGGAGAAAGCUUUAUGCACCAUUGGAUGAGCCUGCACUUGAUUAGUCUGUUGGUGGGGUAAUGGCCUACCAAGACUGUGAUCAAUAGCUGAUUUGAGAGGAUGAUCAGCCACAUUGGGACUGAGACACGGCCCAAACUCCUACGGGAGGCAGCAGUGGGGAAUCUUGCACAAUGGAGGAAACUCUGAUGCAGUGAUGCCGCGUGAGUGAAGAAGGCCCUUGGGUUGUAAAGCUCUUUCGUCGGGGAAGAAAAUGACUGUACCCGAAUAAGAAGGUCCGGCUAACUUCGUGCCAGCAGCCGCGGUAAUACGAAGGGACCUAGCGUAGUUCGGAAUUACUGGGCUUAAAGAGUUCGUAGGUGGUUGAAAAAGUUAGUGGUGAAAUCCCAGAGCUUAACUCUGGAACUGCCAUUAAAACUUUUCAGCUAGAGUAUGAUAGAGGAAAGCAGAAUUUCUAGUGUAGAGGUGAAAUUCGUAGAUAUUAGAAAGAAUACCAAUUGCGAAGGCAGCUUUCUGGAUCAUUACUGACACUGAGGAACGAAAGCAUGGGUAGCGAAGAGGAUUAGAUACCCUCGUAGUCCAUGCCGUAGACGAUGUGUGUUAGACGUUGGAAAUUCAUUUUCAGUGUCGCAGGGAAACCGAUAAACACACCGCCUGGGGAGUACGACCGCAAGGUUAAAACUCAAAUGAAUUGACGGGGACCCGCACAAGUAGUGGAGCAUGUGGUUUAAUUCGAAGAUACGCGCAGAACCUUACCAACACUUGACAUGUUCGUCGCGACUCUAAGAGAUUAGAGUUUUCGGUUCGGCCGGACGAAACACAGGUGCUGCAUGGCUGUCGUCAGCUCGUGUCGUGAGAUGUUGGGUUAAGUCCCGCAACGAGCGCAACCCUCACUUUUAGUUGCCAUCAUUAAGUUGGGCACUCUGAAAGAACUGCCAGUGAUAAGCUGGAGGAAGGUGGGGAUGACGUCAAGUCCUCAUGGCCCUUACGUGUUGGGCUACACACGUGCUACAAUGGUAUCUACAACAGGAAGCAAGACUGCGAAGUUAAGCAAAUCCCUAAAAGAUACCUCAGUUCGGAUUGCACUCUGCAACUCGAGUGCAUGAAGCUGGAAUUACUAGUAAUCGUGGAUCAGCGUGCCACGGUGAAUGCGUUCCCGGGUCUUGUACACACCGCCCGUCACACCAUGGGAGUUGGUUCUACCUUAAGGCAAGGUUUUAAACCCUUGACCACGGUAUAGUCAGCGACUGGGGUGAAGUCGUAACAAGGUAGCCGUAGGGGAACCUGCGGCUGGAUUACCUCCUUUCU